GAGGACAGGUCGAGGACAAGCCUGACAUUCCAUCGAGACCCGUAGGAACUGGCCAAAGCCCAGCACCCAAGAGGAAACAUGGCUGGAAGAAGAGAUUGAUUUCAGGAACUGAAUUUCAACUACAGUGUUAUUGGAAAGGAGGCCUAAUCCAGACCCCAAGAGAGAGUUCUUGGAUCUCAUGCAAGAAAGAAUUCACGCAUACCUGUGAGGACAUCUGUAAAGGCGAAGAUCAAACUGAUGAAGAAACUGUCAAGAAAUGCUGUUGAAUCUCAG
rnacentral:lncRNA from 1 species